rnacentral:tRNA from 1 species
GCUGGGAUGGCUCAGUGGUUGAGCGUCGACCUAUGAACCAGGAGGUCAGGGUUCAAUUCCCGGUCAGGGCA